UCCUUAGUAGCUCAGUGGUAGAGCGGUCGGCUGUUAACCGAUAGGUCGCUGGUUCAAGCCCAGCCUGGGGAG
rnacentral:tRNA from 1 species